rnacentral:tRNA from 1 species
AAAGAUUUAGUUAAACUAUAACAUUAGAAUGUCAAACUAAAAUUAUUAUAAAAUAAUAUUCUUUA